ACGCCAGUAGCUUAGUCCGUUUAGAGCACUCGCCGUUAGCGAGGGUACGAUGGUUAGAAUCCAUCCUGGCGUACCA
rnacentral:tRNA from 1 species